rnacentral:rRNA from 1 species
CCAAUAGCGUAUAUUAAAGUUGUUGCAGUUAAAAAGCUCGUAGUUGAAUUUCGGGAUUUGUCAGUUGGUCGGGCUUAACUGUCCGUAUUGACUCGAUGGAUUCUUACCUUCUGAAUAACCAGCAUGCUAUUAAUUUAGUGCGUUGGGGAAGCAGAUCUAUUACCUUGAAAAAAUUAGAGUGCUUAAAGCGAGCUAGUGCUUGAAUAGAUUAGCUUGGAAUAAUAAAAUAGGACGGAAUGGUUCUAUUUUGUUGGUUUCUAGGAUCACCGUAAUGAUUAAUAGGGAUAGUUGGGGGCAUUAGUAUUCAAUUGUCAGAGGUGAAAUUCUUGGAUUUAUUGAAGACUAACUUCUGCGAAAGCAUUUGCCAAGGAUGUUUUCAUUAAUCAAGAACGAAAGUUAGGGGAUCGAAGACGAUCAGAUACCGUCGUAGUCUUAACCAUAAACUAUGCCGACUAGGAAUCGGACGAUGUUAAUUUUAUAAUGACUCGUUCGGCACCUUACG